CAGUCCUACUCAGUUACUCCCAGGACGGCUAGAUUUUAGCCAUCGGCUUAUCAGCAGAACUAAUUAGUGUUAACUGUUCUGUGGUCAUAAAGCACACUCCCCUGUCAGGCUGACAACAGCCUGUUUGGCGAUAAUAAAUGAACCCAGGUGUUAUAUCUGGCCAAAUCUGAAUAUGCUGCAACAUAUUUCAGAGAGUUAUCGACCAGUGUUAUUAUCAGUUGUGCCAAAUAUUCAUAGCCAAUACAACAUUUAUUUUGAUUUUUUAUAUUUAUAAAACAGGUAAGCUUGAAAUUUGUUAGUAAAAUAAUUUUAUGUUCACCUUUGUUAGAUUUUAAAUUUGACAUGUAACAAGCACCGAACAUGUAAUAUGAAAUGAUUGAAAUUAAAACUAAUAGAAGUUAUAUGAUUUUUAAACAUAGUUUUCUUUACUCUUUCAGAUUGACAACCAAAAUGACUUUUCAUAUUCCAUCACUGAGAAAGAAACAUGAUGUUUGAUGAACCAGUGCACAGAUGGAAAAUAUGUUUGAAGUAGAUCAAUGCAAAAUUCAUGUUGAUAAGACUUUAAGUUGGGACAUUUUGGUAUUUAAUUUUUAUCAACCACAGGAGACUACAUCUAAUUAAUUCAUUUAAUUAUAUAAUUUAAGUUCAACACUCCACUAGCAAAUAUCAUGCUCAAUACUCAUGUUGAUAGUCCUGUAAAGUUGUUUAUUAAAAAAUUUGUUUUUUUAACUUACUGAUUAGUAACAUGGUUACCCGUUAUGUAUAUUAUGUGAACAUUUGUUAUGUGAAUUACUAAGGUAAAGUUGGUAUUUGGUGUAUAAAUUAAUGUUUUUUUCCAUGAAAUGUCCUUGCUAGAAAAGUUUGGGUUACAAUCAUGACAGUACUUAAUAUAAAUGUAUACAGCAGCUUAUCAUUCUAUUAUUAUAAAUUGACAAGAAUUCUAUAAAGUUUAUGUGGCAUACUAUUAAUGCUAUUUCAACUUGUUUAUAUGAACAUUAAUAAAUGUACAUUGAAAAAAUAAGGAAUAUUCAAUUGCUUACUUCUGAAUAAUUUGAUAAUAAUGUGUAAUAAAAAAUAUCUGCAUUAUAAUUUUAUAUAACAUAAUUAUAAUUAUGCUCUGAGAUCAUUACAUACUCUUCGCAUAUUUAUAUACUUUCCAUAACAUAGUUUAAUGAAUAUGUUAUUCAAUUCAAUAAUAAACUAUGUACAAGUUUU